UGCCGGGGUGGUGAAAUUGGUAGACACGAUAGACUCAAAAUCUAUUGAUUUUUUAAAUCGUGAGAGUUCAAAUCUCUCCCUCGGUAU
rnacentral:tRNA from 1 species